UUUUUUUUUUUGGAAAGGAGGACUUUUAAUGUCAUAUUUGAUCACUUUUUCAAUUCAUGCGGUUACAAAGUUAGUAACAAAAAAAAAAAAGAAAGUAUACAUUUCAUAUGCGCUGCAACUCCAAAGAUCUGCAAUACAUCUCCUUGGAACUAUAGUGGAACAGUAUUGUAAAAACGGUUCUUGCAAGGCCUUGAGAGCUAAAAAAAUAUUUGGACAAAUAUAUAUUUGAGUAUUACUAGCUGUACAUUUAUGCAAGUGGUUUCAGUGAACAGAAGCAUAAAACAGGAUAACUACUAUAUGAAACGGCUGGACAGGGAGGGGGGGUUGAAAAAAUGCAUAUAGAGUUUUAAAAACUUUGCAUCAUUAGGCCACCUUAAAAUGUCUAAAAAUGGAAGGACAUGAAGAUUACCUGUAUACGGCAUCAGUUGGAGAUUAAUAUAUGCUGUAGAAACAGAUGUGUGCAGACUAGUUUAAAAAGUAUAACCUUAUGAAAAUGUUACAGCUCACGCUGCAGCCUGAAGGAUAAUUAAGAAGGCUGACUAAUGAGAUAUGAAGUUGUUCAAUAAAGUUGCAGACGAUUGAAUAAGGACCACUGUGGACUAAAGGAAGUUACACUCUACUCUAAGCCAUACUUUCCCUUUAAGAUAUAGCCCAGUUAACAAAAACACAAUCAUGUCUAGUAGUAGGACAUUAUCGAGAACUAUAUGCUUAAUACAGUUCAGU